rnacentral:rRNA from 1 species
GGCAGCAGUAACGAAUAUUGGACAAUGGGCGAAAGCCUGAUCCAGCGACGCCGCGUGUAGGAAGAAGUCCUUCGGGAUGUAAACUACUGUCAGGGACCACCAAGCAAUCGAGGUUAAUACCCUUGUGCGUUGAGGAACCCCAGAGGAAGUCACGGCUAACUUCGUGCCAGCAGCCGCGGUAAUACGAAGGUGGCGAGCGUUGUUCGGAAUCACUGGGCUUAAAGAGCACGUAGGCGGACUGUCAAGCGCUUUGUGAAAGCCCUCGGCUCAACCGAGGAAUUGCUUGGCGAACUGGCAGUCUUGAGGCAGGUAGGGGCAACUGGAACUCAUGGUGGAGCGGUGGAAUGCGUAGAUAUCAUGAGGAACGCCAGAGGCGAAGGCGAGUUGCUGGGCCUGUCCUGACGCUGAGGUGCGAAAGCUAGGGUAGCGAACGGGAUUAGAUACCCCGGUAGUCCUAGCCCUAAACGAUGUCCACUAGGUCGGAGGCACUCUGACGUGUUUCUGGCCGAAAUGAAAACGGUAAGUGGACCGCCUGGGGAGUACGGUCGCAAGGCUAAAACUCAAAUGAAUUGACGG